UGAUCUGGAAGGAGAAAUUCCUAGUAGGCGCCGGUCACCAACGGGCGUUGAUUACAUCCCUGCCCUUUGUACACACCACAUGUCGCUACUACCGAUCCAACGGUUUAGUGAGGCCCUCUCAGCUGAAUGGUGCUUUGUUGUGCGGCUUAGUAUAGUCGGUCGAACUUGAUUGUUUAGAGGAAGU